rnacentral:misc_RNA from 1 species
AAAAAAGUAUUUAUGUAAAGAAAAUAAAAGGUGAUGGAACCUUCAACUUUGUCUUCCUCUUCUUCUCCUUCGUCUUCCUUCGUUUUGGUGAGAGUUUUAGCAUUGUUUACCUGAAAAAUUUAUGGAUCUGAGAAGAGUCCUCACCAUCAUCACUGUUUUAUACAUUAAUUUAGCAGUAACUUCCCCCUCCCUGGCUCAGAACUUGGAAACAUCACACUAUGAGUUUGGUCCAUUCAACAGUACCUACUACAACACCUUCGCAGUCCUAACUCCUGCUACAAUCAGCAACAACGCCCUUCAGGUCACUCCUGAUUCCGCCGGUAACUUCACCCUCAAUCACAGGUCCGGCCGCAUAUUCUUCAAUCAAUCUUUCACUCUUUGGGAGGAACAACAAGGAGGAGCUACAAGGGUGGUUUCCUUCAAUACUUCAUUCCUCAUCAAUGUCUAUCGGGUUGAUAACUCUUCUGUCCCUGGAGAGGGCUUAGCUUUCCUAAUAGCACCAGACCUCAGCCUUCCAUCGAAUAGCAGUGGACAGUACCUGGGUUUGACCAACUCCACCACCGAUGGAGAUUCCUCUAAUGGCAUCGUAGCCAUUGAGCUUGACACCUUCAAGGAGGAUUUCGACCCGGAUGACAACCAUAUGGGUCUUAACAUCCACAGCAUCCGCUCUAACAAGACCGUGUCGCUUUCCAAAUUUGGCAUCCAGAUCUCUCCUGUAGGAACCAAAGUCUAUAUGGUCUGGGUUCAUUACGACGGAGUCAAAAAGGCACUGGAUGUUUACAUGGCGGAGCAAGGAAGCGCCAAGCCCACUACUCCUGUGCUGACUGCGGAUCUAGACCUCGGAGCUCUUGUGCAUCAGGAGUCUUACUUUGGCUUCGCAGCGUCUACGGGAAGUGCCAUCCAGCUCAACUGCGUGCUUGCUUGGAAUUUGACAGUUGAGCUGCUGCAUUCCGCCACCCCUAAGAAUGGUGGUAAUGAUGAUAAGCUAAUUAAGAUCUGCAUAGGUGCUGGGGUACCUGGAUUGGUGCUAUUACUGAUUGGGGUAGCAGGGUUGACCUACUAUCUGCGGAAGAAGAGGGCGGCUUCCGGACCCAACCUACUUGGAGCGCUUAAGAGCCUGCCAGGAACGCCGAGGGAAUUCCGAUUCAGGGAUCUGAAGAAGGCGACCAACAAUUUCGAUGAGAAGAACAAGCUUGGUCAAGGUGGUUUUGGAGUGGUAUACAAAGGAGUGCUACCGGACGACAAUGUCCCUGUCGCUGUGAAGAAGUUCUCCAGAGACAACCUUAAGGGUCAAGACGAUUUCUUGGCUGAGCUUACCAUCAUUAACCGUCUCCGCCAUAAACAUCUUGUCCGAUUACUAGGUAAGUUUUUUUUUUAACCCAUCAUCCCCAUCUGCCUAGCAAGAAAUUUACUUUUUCAUAUUUAUUUAUUUAUUCAUUACAAGCCCAUAAAUUUGGAAAAUUGUCUCGUCUUCUCCUCUUAAUUAGUAAUUCUAAUCCAAGCUCUACCAGUUGAAAGCAUAUUCAUGAUAUAUAAUACUGUUCAUACUCGGUCUUAGUGUAAUUUUUGAUGUCCAAAACUGACGAGAGAGAAUUCUAGCACAAGCUUGAGCCUGACCUUGACUUGAAUUUUUUCACGUGCCAGGAAACCGAGAGGUUAACAAAUGUGUUGCCUAGGCAGAAAUUUUUCACGUUUUAGUACCUCUUUCAUUUCAUAGGACAUGAACGUUGUUAACAUUAUAUAUGCAAAUAACGUAAAAUGGAUUUGAAACUGGUAGUGUUCUUCUGUAUCUGAAUCUGCUGAUUAUUUUUAAAUAAUGACGAUAGGGUGGUGCCACAAGAAUGGGAUGCUACUUCUGGUGUAUGACUACAUGCCAAAUGGAAGCUUGGAUAAACAAAUAUUCCAUGGACCUGAAGAAAAGAACACCCUGGAGUGGAAGCUCAGGCAUAACAUCAUAGCUGGUGUAGCAUCUGCCCUGCACUAUCUCCACAACGAGUACGACCAGAAAGUGGUGCAUAGAGACCUCAAGGCCAGCAACAUCAUGCUCGAUUCCAACUUCAAUGCUCGCCUUGGAGAUUUUGGGCUGGCUCGUGCCUUGGAAAAUGAGAAAACCUCCUAUGCAGAGCUCGAAGGAGUGCCUGGUACUAUGGGCUACAUUGCCCCUGAAUGCUUUCAUACGGGCAAAGCUACCCGCGAGUCUGACGUCUAUGGCUUCGGUGCGGUAGUUCUUGAGGUGGUGUGCGGGCAGAGACCAUGGACCAAGAUCGCUGGCUUCCAGUUCUUGGUGGAUUGGGUGUGGUGGCUGCAUCGUGAAGGGCGUAUUUUAGAGGCCGUUGAUGAGAGGCUUGGCAAUAAUUACGAUGUUGAGGAAGCCCAAAGGCUGCUGUUGCUUGGGCUGGCAUGCUCCCAUCCUAUUGCUAGCGAGAGGCCUAAAACACAUGAAAUCUUUCAGAUGAUAUCAGGAUCAGUGGCAGUGCCCCGUGUCCCACCUUUCAAGCCGGCUUUCGUGUGGCCGUCGGCGACCGGCCCUGAUGUCAGCGGCAUCACGGAUUUUACGGCUGAUACAAUUCCUAUUACAUCUGAUUGGACCCCUCAAAGCGUUAGCCCUCAAAGUCACGCCGGGGGAUAUACAAACAGCUCUUUCGCCUAGCAAAGUCAAUUAAUUCCUUAAAUUUCGCCAAUGAUUCCUAUUUCCUAUUUCUCCUUUCAAAUUGAUUUUGAGAUCUUAUUGACCAUUAUUUGGAGGUGGGUGUGCACGUGUGCAUUUGGAUCAAUGGAAUUGUAUAAUUUUUUUUUUUUGAAAAAAAAUUG